UCUGUAACAUUAAAUAAAAUAUCGUGGAGGAACACAAAGAAAAGGGCUGUGCAUCUCAACAUAUUCAAGGUCAAGCAGCUUUUUACCAUAUCCAUAGUAUCUUGCUGCUAAAUGAAAAAAAAAAUAUAUUCCGGAGGAGCAGAGAAAAGGACACUUCACAUGUUCAAGGUCAAGCAGAAAUUAGGAGCUAGAUGUGCUUCUCCAGAGCUGAAAACUUCUUGGCCUGAAGAGAAGAAAAAGCAAGAAGAAGCAGUUUUAAAUAUUGAUUACGUCUUCAUAGUACAAAAAAAUGAUUCUAAAGAUAAUACUAUCUAUGAAAUUAGAAAACUGAAGUUGCGUUCUGAUGAAUGUGAGAAAGUCUUCAAAGAACAGGACACCAAAAGUGCAACUCUCAAAUCAAAGCACUCUAAAAGGCAGAGCAUAAGGAGAGCUAGGACAAAUAAAGAAUCAAAAAGAGUCAACCCUAUGGAUGCAGUAAUUGAACAGAGAUGGGCUAUUAGAGAUGAAAUAUCUGAGUUGCUACUUUUUUGCACAAAUGUGAUGCUUGUUUUACUUAUCUUUAAUUGACACAUUCAAUGUUAGAUAAGAAAAAAAAUAUACCUAGUGUUGUAUUUUUGACAGUGAAAUUUUUUUCUGAUGCUUGAUUACAGAUUGAAACUGUUAUGUUUUUUAUUGUUUAAACAUUUAUUGGUUUGUUGUGUAGUAUGCAAUCACAUACAUUUUAAUCUUGAUUUAUAUAUUACAUAUAUGUACAAGUCUGACUUAAAUAAUGACUGCAUGGAAAUUAUUGUGGAAAAAAAUAAGACAAUCAAGGGUAGUCAAAAA